UUACCUGGCCUUGACAUACUAAGAACUUUCCAGAGAUGGAUUGGUGCCUUCGGGAACUUUAGAUACAGGUGCUGCAUGGCUGUCGUCAGCUCGUGUCGUGAGAUGUUGGGUUAAGUCCCGCAACGAGCGCAACCCUUUUCCUUAUUUGCCAGCGGGUUAAGCCGGGAACUUUAAGGAUACUGCCAGUGACAAACUGGAGGAAGGCGGGGACGACGUCAAGUCAUCAUGGCCCUUACGGCCAGGGCUACACACGUGCUACAAUGGUCGGUACAAAGGGUUGCUACCUCGCGAGAGGAUGCUAAUCUCAAAAAGCCGAUCGUAGUCCGGAUCGCAGUCUGCAACUCGACUGCGUGAAGUCGGAAUCGCUAGUAAUCGCGGAUCAGAAUGCCGCGGUGAAUACGUUCCCGGGCCUUGUACACACCGCCCGUCACACCAUGGGAGUUUGUUGCACCAGAAGUAGGUAGUCUAACCGCAAGGAGGACGCUUACCACGGUGUGGCCGAUGACUGGGGUGAAGUCGUAACAAGGUAAGCGUAGAUGA
rnacentral:rRNA from 1 species